GCCCAGCCCCCUGCCCCUUGGCAGGCCGGUUCUUAGACUGGCUUGGCGAAAGGGGGUCUCAGCGUCUUUGUGCGUUUCCGGGGAACAGGGUUCCACACGCAUCACGUGUCCCUCGCGAGCUGGCCUGCUCGCUUGCUCACACACUCGCUGGGUCCCACGGUUGCUCGUCGGCGGGUCACGCCUGGCCAGGCGUGCAGAGCACUUGCCCUGCUCCAGGGGCUGAGCUGGGCGCUUCGUCUGUAUUCACCCAUCGGACGCUUGCACGGCGUCAGGAGGGAGCCGCGGCCCCACGGCCCUCUCACGGGUGAGGACGCGGAGGCGCUCUCUCCCUGAGCGCUUGGUGGCCGGGCUCUGGGCUGCAGCUUGAUCUACAUCUGCCCCUUCCAUCCCCGCAGCACCCUGUGAUGGCUCUUGCAAUUCUAGGCGAGCCCAAAGCCUACGCAAUUUGGAGAGACUCUAAGAAGACCAAAGCAUCUUACUUCUGUAAAUGGCCCAACACACGCCAGCUGGGUGGACCCCCUGGUGAACUCCCUCUCGGAUUCUCGGGGGGCUCUGCGAGCCUACGCUCCCUUGGCUUCCGGGAAAAUCAGCCUGUGCUCAGAGGGGCGAGCUGACCCUCCCCGGGUCCCCCAGCUCAUGUGGAAGAGAUCUGACCCGAGUUCCCGGGGAAACCGCCCUCUCCAUGCCCUCCCCCGCAGCCACUCUCUCAGCCUUGCCUCAUUCUCCAGGUGAACUGGGCCAGUGAGGCGGGCCUCCAUCUGGCUCUGGGGUGGGGCAGUCAGAAACCCAGGCUUGGACCUUCAGAAUCACCUUGGGAGCUUGUCAAGAAUCCAUGGUCCUGGGCCUGCCCCCGCAGAUACAGCGUUAGUGGGUCUGAGCCAGGGCCUGGAAAUCUGUAUUUUCAGUGGGGCCCCCCAGUGAGGCUGCUCAGCCACUCCCUUUGGGGACAUGCUGCUUCUGGGACACCCCCUUCUGCCCUGUCGCCUGGCUGUGUCUGGCUCCCUGCCAGGCUGGGCCUGGCACCACGGCUGAGCAGGCCUCAUUUCUCAGGAUAUUUGUUCUUUGAACCCGCCUGCCAUGCUGGGAGGAAGCCCAAACUCAUCUGCUUGGAGAGACCCUGGGUAAGUGGUCCAGCCAACAGCCCUGCUGAGGUCCUGCUGAUGGCCCGCAUCAGCAACCAGGCAUGUGAGCGAAGACCUCUCCAGAUGGUUCCAGCCCCACCCACAGAGGCACUCAGCAUUGAGUUUUCCCAGCUGAGGCCCCAAACAUCACAGAGCGGGGUCAGGGCAUCCCCGAUGGGCUCUGUCCACUCUUGACCAACAAGACUCUGAGCGUAAUAAGGUGGCGGUUGUAUGCGGCUAAGUUUCGGGUAGUUUGGUGAAGACGGUGGAGGGAUGUUCUCUGGAGAGUGGGUGGGGAGGGCUGAGGCCGGAGACGGGGUCUGCUAGUGAAAUACAUAAAACUUCUAACUCCAGCAUUGGGACCGUGUUUGCCCAGCCCCCAGCAGUGUGGGAACCCCAGGUACACGGUGCCAUCCAGCCUCCGCCCGCACGCGGCCUCACCAGGCUGCCCUCCCCUUGGUCUCAGCUCUGGGUGUCACCGUGUUCUUUCUCAGGUCCAGUCAGCAUCUGUGUCCCUGCAGCAUCCUGGUGUUGGCAUCGCUCUGUCCUCAGAAUUCCCACGCACUCCUUCUCUCCUAUUCUGUCCUUUGAGGACUUGCCGAAGGUGACAGUCUAUUCUUCCACAGAAACAGCAGCUGUGGUUGCGUCAACUGCUCCUCGUAUGGUUUGAGUUGAAGACACGGGUUCAGGAGGAAGCUUCGCCAUGUCCAGCUGAGUGGCUUGGGCUCACCUACCCAAGUCUCUGCAGAGUUCUCUUCGGAGACAGGGAUAACAACAGUGCCUGCCUGCCUCCUCUCAGUACUGAGGGUGACAUGAGUCGACAAGGUAUUUAGCGCAGGGCAGGGGCUCCCUGGUGGCUCAGAUGGUAAAGAAUCCGCCUGUAAUGCAGAAGACCUGGGUUUGAUCCCUGGGUCGGGAAGAUCUCUUGGAGAAGGGAAUGGCGCCCCACUUUAGUAUUCUUGCCUGGAGAAUCCUGUGGACAGAGCAGCCCGGGGGGCUGCAGUCCAUGGGGUCACAAAGAGUCGGACACGACUGAGUGACUAACAUUUUAACAGGGGCUCAGUCAAUGUCAGCUCACACAAUGGGACCUAACCCUUGUCUCGCUGCCUCUUGUGGCUGUUGUCAAAAACAGUUGAGCUGGGACUUCCUGGUGGACUCCACACUCCCAGUGCAGGGGCCCGGGUUCGAUCUCUGGUCGAGGAACAAGAUCCCACAUGCUGCAACUACAGAUCCCUCAGGCUGCAACGAAGAUCAAAGGUCCUAUUUGCUUCAAGAUGUGGUGCAACCCCCCAAUGCAUUUUUUAAACAAAAAAAAAAAUUGAGCCAAAGAGCAGGAAAGGAUUUUAUGCACUGCGAAUUGCCAGGGUAGGAGAGGAGCUUGGCUGUCACUCUUUAUGAUCAUCUUGAAACAACUCAGUAUUGACCUAACCUGCUCUGGGGACCAGGAAGGGGUUAUGGGGACACUGGGAGGGCAUUGUCCUCCAGAGUCAAAGGUGGCUCUGUUCACAGCUGUCACCCUCUCUCCCCCAGCCUGGCUUCUGGCCCAGCCGCCCACAGAGAUAAAGUCUCUGCCUGUACCGUCCCACGCCCACCAUUUCCUUGUCAGGGUGAGGUCAUGGUCAGGGACAGGGACUUUCUGAAACAGCUGAGGGUGCUGAGGGGCUGGGCCUUGGUGGGAGUGGGGUUCACAAAUCCCUAGCCUCCCCUUUGGACACUGAGACCCUGCGGCUGCCACCUCGCCGUGUCCAGGGUUCCCUGGAUGGUGUGCAGGAGAGGUGCAGGGCUCAUGCUGACUCAGGUGGCCGUGGGCUGCCAGGGUGGCGGGGACAGUGGGAAUCCUGGGGCCCCCACGGGGCAAGGAAGGGGGCCUGGAGGCCGAGGGGCCUCGCCCUUCCCCCACCUCCAGGACAGACUGUCCGGUUGGACCUGACUCACACAGUGCACUUCCAUGUAAGAGUUUGAAAAAAAGUUAAAAAAAAAAAAAAAAUGAAGUCAAGAUUUUAAAUCAUUUACUGUAGUCCACUGAGCCUAUAAAGGGGAAUGGAUGGCCCAGGUCACAUGACCAGGCAGCGGCAGAAAUGGAACCAGAGCCUGAGGGAAUAGAGACUUGCUCUCUGCUUCUCCAAGCAUCCAUCUCCCCUUUCCCAUUUCUCUUACCAGAGCAGGGACCAAGGACUGGAGCCCGUGAUUCAAACUAAGCCAAUUGGUGCGUUCUGUUUCUCUGGCCACAGGGAUUGGCUCAGAGGUGAACAUGUGACCAAAGCAGGACCAAUCAGAGUGAAUCCCAGGACUUGGAGCUGGGAAUGCUGGGAGUGACAGGCUUUCUCCUUUCUACUCCAAGUGAUGGAGGUGAGCCCCCUUGGGCCAGGGCCGGGCCAGCCGGUGAGAGGGACCAGCCCUGCAAGAGGUUGAGAGAAGGUGCAGAGCACUUGUAUCCAGCCUCACUUGCUGCCAGAGAUUUUGACCUCUUCAUUGAUGUGAUGCUUUUGAACUGAGGUGUUGUAAAGACUCUUGAGAGUCCCUUGGACUGCAAGGAGAUCCAACCAGUCCGUCCUAAAGGAGAUCAGUCCGGAGUUUUCACUGGAAGGACUGAUGCUGAAGCUGAAACUCCAAUACUUUGGCCAUCUGAUGCGAAGAGCUGACUUGUUUGAAAAGACCCUGAUGCUGGGAAAGAUUGAGGGCAAGAGGAGAAGGGGAUGACAGAGGAUGAGAUGGUUGGAUGGCAUCGCCCACUCAAUGGACAUGAGUUUGAGCCAGCUCUGGGAGUUGGUGAUGGACAGAGAAGCCUGGCGUGCUGCAAAGAGUCAGACAUGACUGAGCGACUGAACUGAACUGAACUGAAGUUUAAAUCAGAGGCCAAGUUCAGCUACACAGCGCUCUAACUGAAAGGAUCUUCCUGUGCAGCUAUCUCUUGUUCCCAGGCCUGGGAGACUGCCAUGGCCAACAGGGCACUUGCGAGGUCACGGCCCUUUGACCUCUGCGCCUCUUCUCCAGGUUGCUCUCAUCCCCCACCCUCUGAAGCUCGCUGUAGAACCCAGACAGGCACCCAGGGGCUCCUCGCUUGUCCCUUGAAACCAGCGGGGCUGCCUUUCUCACUGGGGCCAUCCCGCCACAGCCCACCCACCAUCCACAAGCCCCAGGCGCUUCUGACCCUGAAUCAUCCACCUUCAGAGGCCUCCGCACCUGAGCU
ensembl:lncRNA